GAGCGGCCCAGGAGCCCCGGGUGACUGCCCCGGACUUCAGGGCCCGGCUUCGCUUUCCCCCUGCAGGACACUCCAGGUACUGCAUGGCCCCGGGCCCCAAGGGCAGGGAGCGAGACCCUGGAGUGAAGACCCCCCGGCCCCGCCAGGUGUGAUGGGGGGGCCCUGGGGAUAGGGUCCCCGAAGCAAAGCUGAGACUCAGAGGUGGGCUGCUGAGCCACGCCGUCCGCAGGGGCGGUGGCUACAGGUAGUUGUCUUCUGCGGCGUCGCUCCCGCCCCUGGAGCCCCGGGGCUCAUCCUCGUCGUCGUCGUCGUCAUCGGGGGCCAGCGCCUCGAUGUCGUGCGUGAUGUCAGCCAGCAGCCGGUGGAAGGCCUGUGCCUCGGGCCGCUGCGCCGCGCCAUCGUAGCUGCGCACUGCGGAGGCCGACGUGGAGCUCAUGCUGCGCUUGAUGCGGCCGAAGCUGUCAGUGAGGAUGCCGCCCUCGCGGAUGCCCACGCCCUCCAGGAAGCCCUCGAAGUAGCCGAUGUCCUGGUCCGGGAUGAAGGGCCGCAUCCCUGCGAGCCGAGGGGCAUGCCUCCAGGCUUUUGCUUGUGCCAUUCCCACCACCGGCCCCAGCUCACCGUGACCAUGUAAUCCUGUAACUGCUCCAAGCCCAGACUGCUGUGGUCGCUGCCGCUGCAGUGGGAGCCAUGGAAAGAAGGUGUGGACGUGCCGCUGUAACAUGCUUCAAAGGUGUCCUGGGAGCCAUUACUGCAGGCACGGGAAGAAGGGCCUUCACUCGCCUCCCUCCAGCUCCUGGCCCUCAGGCAGGCUGAAGUGCUCCCUGCAGAGCCAUAACAGAUGAAGUGCUUAGUAAAUGUCAGCGGAAGUGGUUGGAGAUGGUGGAUAUAGGCUCAAAUGUAUAUGACCUUGAACACAUUACCUCAUCUCUUAGCGCCUCAGAGCCCUCACGUGUCAAAAGCAGGAUAAUGGCAGUACCUGCCUUGGAAGGCUGCUGCAGGGAUUGAAUGGGAACAGAAGUGCACAAUGAUAACAUAUUAUUAAAAUUAGCUUGUGAAUCAAAGAAGAGAUGAGCAAAACAAAGUCCCUGCUCUCAAAGACUUAACAAUUGUGGCAGAUAGGAUUCAUCUCUUUUGAACCACCUCCAGUUGAUUGGCAGGGGCUGCCUGGAGGGCUGCGUAGAGGAUUAUAAAAACCGGAUCUACUCCCAGCAGGAAGAAGGGAUUGAUUAUCAAUGCCUGCCAUGGGCAGGAGUGGGGAUAUUAGCAGCAGGUGGUCAGUGCACAUGCUGACCAUGAUCUGGUUAGAGACAAAGACACACAAGCCAAGAACUCUGGUAUCAGGCCAGCGACUUGUUUGGGAAAGGCAGAAUCAGGAGCCAUUCCCCAGGCCGGUGGCAUUCAAGCCAAACCUUGAAGGGUGAAUGGAAGGAAAGUUACUCUGGGCAGAGGGAACAGCUUGAGCAAACACAGUGCCAGAGUUCUGCCUGCAAGGAACAGACAACCCCGCCAAAGGUGGCUUAGACAAGAAGGAACAUUUAUUCUCUCUUAAAACAAGUCCAAUAAUGAGGGUUUUCAGGUUAUUUGAGCAGCUCAACACUGGCAUCAAAUUCCUUUAUAUUUUUUACUUUGCUGGUGUUAUUGUGUCGCUCCAAUUUAUUUGUUGAAGCCCUAACCCCCAGUACCUCAGAAUGUAAUAGUAUAUGAAGAUAGGGUCUUUAAAGAGGUGAUGAAGUUAAAAUGAGGCAGUUAGGGUGGGCCUUAAUCCAAUCUCCCUGGUGUCCUUAUAUGAAGAGGAAAUUUGCACCUGUAAUCUCAGCACUUUGGGAGACCAAGGCACGCAGAUCACCUGAGGUUGGAGUUCGAGAUCAGCCUGGCUAACAUGGUGAAACCCCAUCUCUACUAAAUAUACAAAAUUAGCUGGGUGUGGUGGCACGCACCUGUAAUCCCAGCUACUCAGGAGGCUGAGGCAGGAGAAUCACUUGAACCUGGGAGGCAGAGGUUGCAGUGAGCUGGGAUCACGCCACUGCACUCCAGACUGAGUGACAGAGUGAGACUCCAACUCCAAUAAAAAUAAAAAAAGGAAAGAAAAGAGGAAAUUUGGACACACCGAGACAGCAGGGUCACUUGUGUACAGGGAAAGGCCAUGUGAGAACACAGUGGGAAGACGGCCAUCUGCAAGCCAUGGAGAGAGGCCUCAGGAGAAACUGUCAGAAGUGUUUGAACCAGAGCAACUCCAUCUUGAAUAGAAGCUAGGUAGAAUGAGGCUGAGACCUACUGGGCUGCAUUUCCAGACAGUUAAGGCAUUCUAAGUCGCAGGAUGAGACAGAGGUCAGCACAAGAUACAGGUCAUAAAGACCUUGCUGAUAAAACAGUUGCAGUAAAGAAGCCGGCUAAAUCCCACCAAAACCAAGAUGGCCAUGAGACUGACCUCUGGUCAUCCUCACUGCUACACUCCCACCAGCACCAUGACAGUUUACAAAUGCCAUGGCAACAUCAGGAAGUUACCCUAUAUGGUCUAAAAGGGGGAGGCAUGAAUAAUCCACCCCUUGUUUAGCAUAUAAUCAAGAAAUAACCAUAAAAAUGGGCAACUAGCAGCCUUUGGGCUGCUCUGCAUAUGGAGUAGCCGUUCUUUUAUUCCUCUACUUUCUUAAUAAACUUGCUUUCCCUGUACUGUACGGACCCGCCCUGAAUUCCUUCUCGCGUGAGAUACAAGAACCGUCUCUCGGGGUCUGGAUGGGGAGCCCUUUCCUGUAACAAAACCAACUCUGCCAAUGCCUUGAUCUUGGACUUCCAG
ensembl:lncRNA novel transcript